rnacentral:misc_RNA from 1 species
UUACCUUGUUACGGCUUCACCCCAGUCGCCGAAUCCCUGCCGUAGUGAAAUGCUUCCCUCUCGCCCCGGUUGGGCUAACUACUUCUGGUAAAACCCACUCCGCCAGUGCUGACCCGGGCGGUGUGCAAGACCGGGAACAGCGUAUUCACCGCGACAUGCUGAUCCACGUUACUAGCAAAUUCCAGCUUCGCAGUCCGAGUUGCAGACUGCGAUCCGGACUACGAUCGGUUUCUGGGAUUGGCGCUCUCGCCCGGGUUGGCGACCUCUGUCCCGAUGGUAUGACGUGUGAAGCCCUACCCGCAAAGAUAAUGAGGACUUGACGUGUCCCCUUCCUCCGGUUUUAUGCCGGCAGAUCUCAUUAGAGUGCCCUUUCGUAGCAAUAAUAAUAAGAGGUUGCGCUCGUUGCAGGACUUAACCCCAACAUCCUAGAGCACAUUUGGCGACAUGCAUACAGCACCUGUGUUCCGGUUCUCUUGCGAGCACUCCCAAAUCUCUUGGAAUUCCCAGACAUGUCAAAGGUAGGUAGAGUUUUUUCGCAUUGCAUCGAAUUAAUCCACAUCGUCCUACCGCUUGUGCGGGUCCCGUCCAAUUCCUUUGAGUUUUAAUCUUGCGACCGUACUAUACAGGCGUUCAACUUCACCAUUCGCUGCGCUACCAAGGCCCGAAGGCCCCAACAGCUAGUUGACAUCGUUUAGGGCGUGGACUACCGGGGUAUAUCUAAUCCUGUUUGCCACGCUCGUGCAUGAGCGUCAGUGUUUUAUCCCGGAAGCUGCCUUCGCCAUCGGUGUUCCUCCGCAUAUCUACGCAUUCCUGCUACCGCGAUUCCACCCUCUGACACUCUAGCUCGGUAGUUAAAAAUGCAGUUCCAAAGAUUCAAGCUCUGGGAUUUCACAUCUUUCUUUCCGAACCGCCUGCUGCGCCCACGCUUUUGCGCCCAGUAAUUCCGAUUAACACUUUUCGUAUUCACCGCGGCUGCUGGCGCGUGGCCAGGUGCUUAUUCUGCUGGUACCGUCAGUUGCACGGGUAUUAUCCCGUGCCGUUUCUUUCUGUAAAGUGCUUUACAACCCGAAAGCCUUCAUCACCUACGCAGGAUGGCUGGAUCAGGUUUUCCCCAUUGUCCAAAAUUCCACCUGCCUCCGUAGGAGUCUGGGCCGUGUCUCGGUCAGUGUGACUGGUCGUCCUCUCGGAAACCAGCUACGGAUCGUCGCCUUGGUGAGCCGUUACCCCACCAACUAGCUAAUCCGAUAUCGGCCGCUCUAAUAGUGCAGGGCGAGGUCCCCGCUUUCCCGAGGCAAUGUGCGGUAAUGCGCUACGCUUUCGCGUAGUUAUCCCCACUAGGCACGUUCCGAUACAUUACUCACCGUUCGCCACUCGCCCGCAGACCGAAAGUCCGUGCUGCCGUUCACGGCCCAUGUGUAAAGCAUCCGCCAGCGUUUAAUCCGAGCCGUGAUCAAACCACCUGUUACCUGAUGUCAGGAGCAAUACGUCGUUACUUCGUUCGGUGCGUAUUGCUAUGCUUACAUUACCUCGGCACUGGACCUAGGGCGCGGCAGUGGGGAAUAUUGGACAAUGGGCGAAAGCCUGAUCCAGCCCAUACCGCGACGUGUGAAAGAAGGUCUUGGAUUCUCAAAAACACUUUAAGUUGGGAGGAAGGGCGACCAAGUUAACUCCUUGCUGUUUUGACGUUACCUGAACAGAAUAAGCGCAAUACUCAUGCCAGCAUGCAGGUAAUACAGAAGAUGUAACAUUAAUCGGAAUUACUGGGCGUAAGCGCGUGGGUGGUUUUGUUAAGUUGGAUGUGAAAGCCCGGGCUCAACCUGGGAACUGCAUCCAAAACGGCAAGCUAAGUACAGUAUUAAGAGGUGGACAGAAUUUCCUGUGCUUAGCUGGUGAAAUGCGUAGAUAUAGGAAGGAACACCAGUGGCGAAAACGAAGCCACCUGGACUGAUACUGACACUGAGGUGCGAAAGCGUGGGGAGCAAACAGGAUUGAUCACCCUUGUAGU